ensembl:snRNA U6 U6 spliceosomal RNA
GUGUUCGCUUCAGCGGCACAUAUACUAAAAUUGGAACGAUAGAGAGAAGAUUAGAAUGGCCCCUGUGCACGGAUAAAGCACAAAUUCAUGAAAUGUUCCAUAUUUUU